rnacentral:rRNA from 1 species
AGAGUUUGAUCAUGGCUCAGAUUGAACGCUGGCGGUAUGCUUAACACAUGCAAGUCGAACGGUAGCAGGCCUUCGGGCGCUGACGAGUGGCGGACGGGUGAGUAACGCGUAGGAAUCUGCCUGGUAGUGGGGGACAACGUGGGGAAACUCACGCUAAUACCGCAUACGCCCUACGGGGGAAAGCGGGGGCUCUUCGGACCUCGCGCUAUCAGAUGAGCCUGCGUUAGAUUAGCUAGUUGGUAGGGUAAAGGCCUACCAAGGCGACGAUCUAUAGCUGGUCUGAGAGGACGAUCAGCCACACUGGGACUGAGACACGGCCCAGACUCCUACGGGAGGCAGCAGUGGGGAAUAUUGGACAAUGGGCGCAAGCCUGAUCCAGCAAUACCGCGUGUGUGAAGAAGGCCCUAGGGUUGUAAAGCACUUUCAAUUGGGAGGAAAACCUGCCGGUCAAUACCCGGCAGCUUGACAUUACCUUUAGAAGAAGCACCGGCUAACUCCGUGCCAGCAGCCGCGGUAAUACGGAGGGUGCGAGCGUUAAUCGGAAUUACUGGGCGUAAAGCGUGCGUAGGCGGUUCGUUAAGUCAGAUGUGAAAGCCCCGGGCUCAACCUGGGAACUGCAUUUGAAACUGGCGGACUAGAGUUUAGUAGAGGGGAGUGGAAUUUCAGGUGUAGCGGUGAAAUGCGUAGAUAUCUGAAGGAACACCAGUGGCGAAGGCGACUCCCUGGACUAGAACUGACGCUGAGGUACGAAAGCGUGGGUAGCAAACAGGAUUAGAUACCCUAGUAGUCC